UUUCCAGUAGCACCUUAGAGACCAAUUUAGUUAUUGGUAUGAGCUUUCGUGUGCAUGCACACUUCUUCAGAAACCAUGCACACGAAAGCUCAUACCAAUAACUAACUUAUAGUUGGUCUCUAAGGUGCUACUGGAAG